rnacentral:rRNA from 1 species
UACAGAGGUCUCAAGCGUUGUUCGGAUUCAUUGGGCGUAAAGGGUGCGUAGGUGGCGCCGUAAGUCAGGUGUGAAAUUUCGGAGCUUAACUCCGAAACUGCAUUUGAUACUGCGGUGCUUGAGGACUGGAGAGGAGACUGGAAUUUACGGUGUAGCAGUGAAAUGCGUAGAGAUCGUAAGGAAGACCAGUGGCGAAGGCGGGUCUCUGGACAGUUCCUGACGCUGAGGAGCGAAAGCGUGGGGAGCAAACAGG